rnacentral:rRNA from 1 species
UACGUAGGGCGCAAGCGUUGUCCGGAAUUAUUGGGCGUAAAGAGCUCGUAGGCGGUUUGUCGCGUCUGCUGUGAAAACUCGAGGCUCAACCUCGGGCUUGCAGUGGGGUACGGGCAGACUAGAGUGCGGUAGGGGGUGACUGGAAUUCCUGGUGUAGCGGUGGAAUGCGCAGAUAUCAGGAGGAAUACCGAUGGCGAAGGCAGGUCACUGGGCCGCAACUGACGCUGAGGAGCGAAAGCAUGGGGGAGCGAACAGG